GAAAUUGUAGCUUAAUUUGGUAAAGCAUUGACCUGUCACGCCAAAGAUUGCGAGUUCGAUUCUCGUCUAUUUCG
rnacentral:tRNA from 1 species